rnacentral:lncRNA from 1 species
UAUGGAAACAUGGAAAAUUCCAUUUUAGAUUUUCUGCAGGAUGGGUGAAAAGGGAGUUUAUUCAAUUUUCAUGGAAUACUCUAAUUUUUGGCUUUGAAACACAAAGAGAAGCGGAGCAUGUGAGAUGUAAAAAUGGAGCAGUUUUUAUUAGUGCUCUGUUGUUCUUGAUACGGCGGUUAGUUUUUUUUUUUUGUGUUGCAGAACGUGCAACGGAUAAAUAGGAAAA